rnacentral:hammerhead_ribozyme from 1 species
GUACCGCUGACGAGUCCCAAACAGGACGAAACAGCUGUCCAGUGC